AAAAAAAUAGUUUCGACAUAUUUUCUAAAUUUUAUAAUUUUCUGACACCUUGAAUUUUCAGCUGAAAGAUUAGCCCGAUCCUUCUAGAAAAUCCUAAAUUUUCUAUUUUCAUUCCAUAUAAAUUAUUAUAAAAUUAUCUUUUAUCUUUCUAAGUCAAUAAAAAUAGUAUCUCACACUAAUUUUAUUUACACAUGAUUUUACCAAAAUAUCCUUCAAAAUCUGAAUUUUGCAGAACUGCGUACCAGUACUCGGGUUUGCAUACCGGUACUCAAGUAUUCAGUUCUGAUACCCUAAAUCUAGUUUCUCAAAACCCAAACAUUAGAUUCUCAGAUUUUCUAUUGCGUAUUGGUAUCCAAUUUUCAGUACAGGUACGCAGUACAAACUUAGUACCGAUACUUAGGUUCAAUUCCUCAGAACUUGAGAGUUCGUUCCUUUCAUUUUGUAUUGCGUAUCGGUACCCAAUUUUUCAGCACCGGCACUCAAAACAAAAUCAGUAGUUUUGACAGUUUUAACAUUUCGGAGUCCGUUUUCGCGCCCGGUUUGCGCCGAAAAAAACUGAAGAUAGUGAAUGAUUCACCGCCUUAGUGAAGGCGGAAGACGGUGAACCAUUCACCAUCUUCAAUAUUUAUAUUACAAAGAUGGUGAAUCGUUCACCGCCUUACUGAAGACGAACGAUUCACUGUUUUUAGAGAAAAUCUCCACCCUGGCGCGUUACGUGGCGAAAAAAGGAUUAAUUUUCAAAUAC
rnacentral:lncRNA from 1 species